rnacentral:rRNA from 1 species
AUUGAACGCUGGCGGCAGGCCUAACACAUGCAAGUCGAGCGGCAGCGACUUAACUGAACCUUCGGGGAACGUUAAGGGCGGCGAGCGGCGGACGGGUGAGUAAUGCCUGGGAAUAUGCCCUGAUGUGGGGGAUAACUAUUGGAAACGAUAGCUAAUACCGCAUAAUCUCUUCGGAGCAAAGAGGGGGACCUUCGGGCCUCUCGCGUCAGGAUUAGCCCAGGUGGGAUUAGCUUGUUGGUGAGGUAAUGGCUCACCAAGGCAACGAUCCCUAGCUGGUCUGAGAGGAUGAUCAGCCACACUGGAACUGAGACACGGUCCAGACUCCUACGGGAGGCAGCAGUGGGGAAUAUUGCACAAUGGGGGAAACCCUGAUGCAGCCAUGCCGCGUGUGUGAAGAAGGCCUUCGGGUUGUAAAGCACUUUCAGUAGGGAGGAAGGUAGUGUAGUUAACACCUGCAUUAUUUGACGUUACCUACAGAAGAAGCACCGGCUAACUCCGUGCCAGCAGCCGCGGUAAUACGGAGGGUGCGAGCGUUAAUCGGAAUUACUGGGCGUAAAGCGCAUGCAGGCGGCCUGUUAAGUCAGAUGUGAAAGCCCGGGGCUUAACCUCGGAAUUGCAUUUGAAACUGGCUGGCUAGAGUCUUGUAGAGGGGGGUAGAAUUUCAGGUGUAGCGGUGAAAUGCGUAGAGAUCUGAAGGAAUACCAGUGGCGAAGGCGGCCCCCUGGACAAAGACUGACGCUCAGAUGCGAAAGCGUGGGGAGCAAACAGG